rnacentral:tRNA from 1 species
GGGGGUAUAGCUCAGCUGGGAGAGCGCUUGCAUGGCAUGCAAGAGGUCAUGGGUUCGAAUCCCACUAUCUCCACUA